GUGGUGGCUUUGCUCACGGCUGACACGGCAAGGCACGGUUCCCCAGCUUUCACAUGAUGUGGGGGCCCAGGGAAAGGCCAAAGGAGACUUCCUCCGGGGCAGAGCCACGGUCCAGCUCCUGCAUUGCUCUCAGCACAGUCAGCUCUGUGCUCACACAGUCAGCUCUGUCCACACACACAGUCAGCUCUGAGCUCACAGUCAGCUCUGUGCUCACACAGUCAGCUCUGUCCUCACACACAGUCAGCUCUGUCCUCACACAGUCAGCUCUGUCCUCACACAGUCAGCUCUGUGCUCACACAGUCAGCUCUGUCCUCACAGUCAGCUCUGUCCUCACACACAGUCAGCUCUGUCCUCACACACUCAGCUCUGUGCUCACACAGUCAGCUCUGUCCUCACAGUCAGCUCUGUCCUCACACAGUCAGCUCUGUGCUCACACAGUCAGCUCUGUGCUCACACAGUCAGCUCUGUCCUCACAGUCAGCUCUGUGCUCACAGUCAGCUCUGUCCUCACAGUCAGCUCUGUGCUCACACAGUCAGCUCUGUCCUCACACACAGUCAGCUCUGUCCUCACACAGUCAGCUCUGUGCUCACAGUCAGCUCUGUCCUCACACAGUCAGCUCUGUCCUCACAGUCAGCUCUGUCCUCACACAGUCAGCUCUGUCCUCACAGUCAGCUCUGUCCUCACACAGUCAGCUCUGUCCUCACACAGUCAGCUCUGAGCUCACACAGUCAGCUCUGUCCUCGCACACAGUCAGCUCUGUGCUCACACAAUCAGCUCUGAGCUCAGUCAGCUCUGUCCUCACACAGUCAGCUCUGUCCUCACAGUCAGCUCUGAGCUCACAGCACACAGUCAGCUCUGUGCUCACACAGUCAGCUCUGAGCUCACAGCACACAGUCAGCUCUGUGCUCACACAGUCAGCUCUGAGCACACAGCGCACAGUCAGCCCUCUGCUGUGUCUGUAGGUUGCACUCCCCCAGGCUCAGCAUUAAUGGACAGGAGACAUUCAGAGAAGCGCCUGCGCCCUCUGAGGCCGUGCGAUCCCCUCGCUGGGUUCCCAAGCCACGGCCGUCACACUGCUCUCUGGACAAUGAAUCCUUGUGCCGGACUUCACAGUGACCCAGAGAUGUGCACUGCAUGUACUGCGCUGUGCCAGCUUCUAGUCGACACCGGGCUGCUUCUCCACGGCGCCUGGGUGCACUGGGCUUGGUCCACCGGUCCUGCGGGCGCCAGGACGCCUGACCUCCCAGACUCUUGCCGCAUCCUAGGUCCUGGGAGCUCAGGGGUGCCCGGGUCUGCUGUCCGGGUGCUGCAGGGGAGGGGCGGGACCGAUGGCCCCUUGCCCAGGUGGUCGCAACCCAGCCAGCUGAGGAGGUUUUCUG
rnacentral:lncRNA from 1 species